AAACCAACAGGGAUUGCCUCAGUAACGGCGAGUGAAGCGGCAAAAGAUCAAAUUUGAAAUCCUCCGGGAAUUGUAAUUUGAAGGUGGGGUUGAAUAGGUCUAGAUACUUUAAGUCCAUUGGAAAAUGGCGCCAUGGAGGGUGAUAGCCCCGUAAAAGUAUUCAAACCUUCUUUUCUUCCCCUCCUAAGAGUCGAGUUGUUUGGGAAUGCAGCUCUAAGUGGGUGGUAAAUUCCAUCUAAAGCUAAAUAUUGGCGAGAGACCGAUAGCGAACAAGUACAGUGAUGGAAAGAUGAAAAGCACUUUGAAAAGAGAGUGAAAAAGUACGUGAAAUUGUUGAAAGGGAAGGGCUUGCAAGCAGACACAACCUCGGUUGGGCCAGCAUCGGAGUGGGGGGAGACAAAAAAGGUUAGGAAUGUAGCUCCCUUUAGAGUAUUAUAUCCUAGCCCUAUAUCUCCAUCCCCUUCCGAGGCCUGCGAUUCUUCAAGGAUGCUGGCGUCAUGGUUGCAAGUCGCCCCCCCCCCCCCACAGACCCCCCGCGCGGCU
rnacentral:rRNA from 1 species